rnacentral:rRNA from 2 species
UGCAAGUCGAACGAUGAUCCCCAGCUUGCUGGGGGGAUUAGUGGCGAACGGGUGAGUAACACGUGAGUAACCUGCCCUUGACUCUGGGAUAAGCGUUGGAAACGACGUCUAAUACCGGAUAUGACUCCUGGCCGCAUGGUCUGGGGGUGGAAAGAUUUUUUGGUCAAGGAUGGACUCGCGGCCUAUCAGGUAGUUGGUGAGGUAAUGGCUCACCAAGCCGACGACGGGUAGCCGGCCUGAGAGGGUGACCGGCCACACUGGGACUGAGACACGGCCCAGACUCCUACGGGAGGCAGCAGUGGGGAAUAUUGCACAAUGGGCGAAAGCCUGAUGCAGCAACGCCGCGUGAGGGACGACGGCCUUCGGGUUGUAAACCUCUUUUAGUAGGGAAGAAGGGAGCUUGCUCUUGACGGUACCUGCAGAAAAAGCACCGGCUAACUACGUGCCAGCAGCCGCGGUAAUACGUAGGGUGCAAGCGUUGUCCGGAAUUAUUGGGCGUAAAGAGCUCGUAGGCGGUUUGUCGCGUCUGCUGUGAAAUCUGGGGGCUCAACCCCCAGCCUGCAGUGGGUACGGGCAGACUAGAGUGCGGUAGGGGAGAUUGGAAUUCCUGGUGUAGCGGUGGAAUGCGCAGAUAUCAGGAGGAACACCGAUGGCGAAGGCAGAUCUCUGGGCCGUAACUGACGCUGAGGAGCGAAAGCAUGGGGAGCGAACAGGAUUAGAUACCCUGGUAGUCCAUGCCGUAAACGUUGGGAACUAGAUGUAGGGGCCAUUCCACGGUUUCUGUGUCGCAGCUAACGCAUUAAGUUCCCCGCCUGGGGAGUACGGCCGCAAGGCUAAAACUCAAAGGAAUUGACGGGGGCCCGCACAAGCGGCGGAGCAUGCGGAUUAAUUCGAUGCAACGCGAAGAACCUUACCAAGGCUUGACAUAUACCGGAAACGUCCAGAGAUGGUCGCCCCGCAAGGUCGGUAUACAGGUGGUGCAUGGUUGUCGUCAGCUCGUGUCGUGAGAUGUUGGGUUAAGUCCCGCAACGAGCGCAACCCUCGUUCUAUGUUGCCAGCACGUUAUGGUGGGAACUCAUAGGA